AAACACAGUGUUGUUUUUGUCUCUU
rnacentral:sRNA from 1 species